UAUUUCUCCCAACCCCAUCACCAUACGGUUUUUCCAUAUCUCCACUCUCUAAAAUCUCUCCAACAGACCAAAUCUCCACAGAAAUUGUUAUAUAUCUCUUCCCACAAUCUCAGCCAGUUUUCAACGCCAUCCCGAUUCAGUUCCUCUUCGUUUCUGUAAAGCUUGAACCGAGAGACUGAGAUUUUCAAUAUCCUCUGCUUCUGCAAGUUUUGCUUCUCUGGAAGGGUGAACUUUGCACGUGGUUUGUGGUUGGAGAAGAAAGUGAUUGAGGAGCUAAGAGAAACGAGGUGGACUUUCUUUUUAUAUAAGGGCAAUGCCCUAAGUAUAUUUUUAUGUGAAAAUGAUGUAAAUAUUUGUCAUGCCGUAUUUUGUUUUAUUCUAUGGAACCUAUCUGAUGUGGCUUUUGCCAUCUAUGGAUAAUCGAAUUCGGGUCUGACUAGGGAGUGAGUCCCUACUCAAGCUAGUGUACACCAAUGGGGAUCGUGAGCCGUCUUUUGGGUCGGCCGGUCUAGUGACUUGGAAUGUGGCCACAUUCCUUGUCAUCAAUGGAUCAGAUAUGGUAGACAUCUAUGGGAAAAUGACUGCGCAGUCGCUAAUUUUACGAUGGAAAAUAUUUUAGUGUCUUGGGCAUUUUUCAAAGUUAAAACCCCGAGUUCACUCAAUGGUGGCAUGAUAAAUACUUUUUAUAAAAUGUUUUCGGCAUAAGUCCACUGAGUGCAUCAAGUACUCAGCCAUGCAUUUCUUUUUAAAAAUGUGCAAGUUGAGCUGUGACGAGCGCGGUGGGUGUUGAGCAGAACUAGUGAAGAUUUGUGUUUUGCUUUUAAAUGUUCAGAAUAUGUUGUGUCUUCAUACAUAGCAUUAUUCUACUCUCGAAUGCUUCCGCUAAACAGUAUUCCUUUUGAGUUCAUUUAUUGAAUAGAUAUACAAUAUUGUAUCCCUUUGAGUUGUCAUUUAUUGUUGAGAUACUCUGAUUUUA